rnacentral:rRNA from 1 species
GCCUAAAGCGUCCGUAGCCGGCUCUGUAAGUUUUCGGUUAAAUCUGUACGCUUAACGUACAGGCUGCCGGGAAUACUGCAGAGCUAGGGAGUGGGAGAGGUAGACGGUACUCGGGAGGAAGUGGUAAAAUGCUUUGAUCUCUCGAUGACCACCUGUGGCGAAGGCGGUCUACCAGAACACGUCCGACGGUGAGGGAUGAAAGCUGGGGGAGCAAACCGGAUUAGAUACCCGGGUAGUCCCAGCUGUAAACUAUGCAAACUCAGUGAUGCAUUGGCUUGUGGCCAAUGCAGUGUUGCAGGGAAGCCGUUAAGUUUGCCGCCUGGGAAGUACGUACGCAAGUAUGAAACUUAAAGGAAUUGGCGGGGGAGCACCACAAGGGGUGAAGCCUGCGGUUCAAUUGGAGUCAACGCCAGAAAUCUUACCCGGAGAGACAGCAGAAUGAAGGUCAAGCUGAAGACUUUACCAGACAAGCUGAGAGGUGGUGCAUGGCCGUCGCCAGCUCGUGCCGUGAGAUGUCCUGUUAAGUCAGGUAACGAGCGAGAUCCCUGCCUCUAGUUGCCACCAUUACUCUCAGGAGUAGUGGGGCGAAUUAGCGGGACCGCCGCAGUUAAUGCGGAGGAAGGAAGGGGCCACGGCAGGUCAGUAUGCCCCGAA